rnacentral:rRNA from 1 species
UAUGGCUCAGGAUGAACGCUAGCGGGAGGCCUAACACAUGCAAGCCGAGCGGUAGAAGAUCUUCGGAUCUUUGAGAGCGGCGCACGGGUGCGGAACACGUGUGCAACCUACCUUUAUCAGGGGGAUAGCCUUUCGAAAGGAAGAUUAAUACCCCAUAAUAUAUUUUACGGCAUCGUAAGAUAUUGAAAACUCCGGUGGAUAGAGAUGGGCACGCGCAAGAUUAGAUAGUUGGUGAGGUAACGGCUCACCAAGUCAAUGAUCUUUAGGGGGCCUGAGAGGGUGAUCCCCCACACUGGUACUGAGACACGGACCAGACUCCUACGGGAGGCAGCAGUGAGGAAUAUUGGACAAUGGGUGAGAGCCUGAUCCAGCCAUCCCGCGUGAAGGACGACGGCCCUAUGGGUUGUAAACUUCUUUUGUAUAGGGAUAAACCUACUCUCGUGAGAGUAGCUGAAGGUACUAUACGAAUAAGCACCGGCUAACUCCGUGCCAGCAGCCGCGGUAAUACGGAGGGUGCAAGCGUUAUCCGGAUUUAUUGGGUUUAAAGGGUCCGUAGGCGGACUCGUAAGUCAGUGGUGAAAUCUCAUAGCUUAACUAUGAAACUGCCAUUGAUACUGCGGGUCUUGAGUAAAGUAGAAGUGGCUGGAAUAAGUAGUGUAGCGGUGAAAUGCAUAGAUAUUACUUAGAACACCAAUUGCGAAGGCAGGUCACUAUGUUUUAACUG